UUUUUUUUUUUUCUUUUUUGGGAGGGGAAAAGAGAACAGGCAGGGAAGGUCUUGGGUGAUAGUUUUUCUCAGUUCUGGGAAAAUAACCUUGUUUCCUGUGAUGCGCUCUUCAAUUCCUCACUUUCUGUGAAGCAACGAUGUCUCUGGCUUUGGGAUCCUUACUGGUUUGAGAGGGGAAGACUAAGAGGAGGCUUUUAAAGCAGUUCUUGCUGUUUCUUUCUUAAAUAUAAUUAGAUGCGCCUCAUUUCCUCACACUGAAGGACUUUUGUACUUUUUCGAGCUGUGUUUUCUGAGAUCUUCCGUGGGCGACGGCUCGUUGUUUCCACUUGCAGUUGAUUGCAUUAGCAGGACCCCUGUUCUCUAUAAAACCCAGAUGAAGAACUGUAUCCACGAAACUCAGAGGCAGUCCCUGGAGAGCAUCCCGUGUGGCUACUGUUGUGAAGCCGACCACAACCGCCCAGGAAACUCACCAGGCUCCGACACCCAGGUUUGGUCAAAGUCACAAGAUAGCCACGGAUAUACCCAGCCAUUCCCAUGAAGGGAACGCUGUAGAAGUGGGGGCGCAGGGCAGUUGCAAGCCUGUAUGGCAGAGAGGGGAAGGAAGAAAAUGCUCUCCCAUAAACCCCUUUGGACCUUCAUUCCUUUAAGAUUUAGGGAAUGGUGUUGGGGUGGAACCAUGUAAAAUAAUUAAAACAUUCGGUCCCUGUUUAUCUUUUGCUUCCUUCUCUGGGCCUUGUUCUGAAAGUAAACUUUGCAGUUAGUUUCCGGGCUCCCAAAAUUCCCAAGUGUGUGAGUGUCCUCAAGGCUUUGGGCAGAGUUAAUGAUUGGCUUGCAGUUCGCUGGACCUGUUUCCUCCAGGUGAGCCACCUUUUUUUCCUUCACUUCAGUUUCUGGGUAGCAGACUUCUCUUCUCUGCAUGGAGACCUUCCUGGCCACAGGAGGAAACCUCGCUUUCUGAUGCCUUCUAAGGCCCCAGUGGAUCAGGAGUGGGUGGUGUGUGUGUUCACACAACAACAACAACCACAACAACAACAAAAAGGAGGAAUAAGAACUGCCAAACCGCAACAUGCAGGCAAUGGAAUAAGCAUAAAGAAAAGUGCCUUCAUCAUUUCAUCUUUGGCCCCACCUAGAUUUGCAGCAUCAGCAUGACUAAGUCAUGGAGGCAAGUUGAUUUCAUCAGCACGUUGGAGGCACUCCGUCCAAUUAAUGUGACUUGAAGGUGACAUUUGUAUAUCCCUCAGACCAAAAUACUCAAUGACGUGAGUUAUUAGAAACAGCCCAAAUAACGAUGAAUUCCUAAAAUUAAUAUCUGCACUCCAGCCUGGGUGACAGAGCAAGACUCCAUCUCAAAACCAACCAACCAACCAACCAACCAACCAACCAACCAACCAACCAACCAACCAAAUACCCAAGUCAAAUUCAAAUUAAGUGAGAUAAUGGUUGGAGGGAAAUAAUAGUUCUAUGCCAAAGAAGUUCCAGUGGUUUGUAGAUGUUUGAAUGGGUAGCAGAUAAAUGGGGUUUUUUGAAAUGAACUUUCUAGAAUCUUAUGGUGAAAACUUGGGAAACAAAAGAGAAUGCUAAUGUUAAAGGGGAAGGAGAAAAUGUUUCUUUAAUGUGACAUAUAUCAUCCUAAUGGCACCUUACAUUUAGAGAUUACUUUUCUUUGAAAGCAUAUGAAACAUUAUGUGCACAGCAUUGUGAGCCUCAAGAAUGUAGGUAUCCCUGCUUUAAAGAUGGGAAGAACGGAUUCACAGAUGUGACCUUUCCCAAAAUACACAGAACACUGGCAUACAGCCAGUAUGGUUAUAUUACCAUUCAGGAGUUGCUGUGUUUCUGCAGAUCUCAGACUAGACCAAAUGCAUUUUUUUGGGUAGUGGACUUGAAGAGAAAAGGCAGCCAAUUCCUAUUUAACUGAACAAAUGAAGUAAAUGUUGAUUGUGUUUCUGCUACAUAUAAAGAGUAGGAAAGGCAUAGGCCUUGUUCUCAAGGAAUUUAUAGCUUAGUGGAGGAGACAGACAUACGAGCUCACUUUAAUGCAAAGCACUGUUAAAUAAAGCAUUGAGCAAUGGACACUGGCAAUUAGUUGCAGAGGCACGGUGGGGAAAGAGCUGCCGCGAACAGGGGCCACUAUAACAGUCAGCCGCACGUGAGAAACACACCAUCAGUCGGGGCAGGCUACCUCUCUGCAGGCAUCAGGGAGUCCUUCUAGCUUCCUUAUUCAGAGCUGAAAUCUACCUAUCUGUAGCUUCCACCGUGUGCUUCUAGCUUUGUCCUCUGAAGCAAUGUAAACUAGUUUAAUCCCUCUCCCACACACCAUCCUUCAAAAUUCUAAAUGUAGAUAACUUUUUUUUUUUUUUUUGAGACAGGGUCUCACUCUGGAGAACAGUGGUGUGAUCUUGGCUCACUACAACCUCUGCCUCCCCAGUUCCAACAAUGUUCCUGCCUCAGCCUCCUGAGUAGCUACGAUUACAGGCACCCACCACCACACCCAGCUAAUUGUUUGUAUUUUUAGUAGAGAUGGGGUUUCACCAUGUUGGCCAGGCUAGUCUCGAACUUCUGACCUCAAGUGAUCUGCCUGCCUCGGGCUCCCAAAGUGCUGGGAUUGCAGGCAUGAGCCACCGUGCCUGGCCAUAGAUGAUAUUUCUUUCCUUUUCCCCAGUGCCCCUACCCCAAAGACUCCUUCACCAUUUUCCUAUUUUGGAUUAAAUGUACCAAUUUCUUCAACUCAUUUGCCUAUGGCAUGAUUCCCCAGUCCUUCAUUCUCUGGCAUUCUUCUCUUGAUAAAUUCCACUUUAUUCAUGUUCAUCCUUAAACAUGGCAUUGAAAAUUCAACACAAUAUUUUAUUUUAUUUUUAUUUUUGUUGAGACCAGGUCUCACUAUGUUACCCAGGCUGGUCUCAAACUUCUGUCCUCAAGCGAACCUCUCACCUUAACCUUCCAAAUAGCUGGGAUUACAGGCACAGAAGCAUGGCAGAAGCAAUAUAUUAUUUUAGAUAUGUGUUGACUAGUGAGUCAGUUCUGCCCCGUUAUCCGUCCAUCGAUCCUGCCAUCUAUCCAUUCAUCCAUCCAUCCAUGCACCCACCCAUCCAACAAUACGUAAAUAAGCUUUUGUGAUAUGAGGCACUGUUUAGUUACUACAGGGGAUACAAUGAUGAAAAUUGUAAAUGAAAGUCAAAUUGAGUGAGACAAUGGUUGGAGGGAACCAUGCUCACACACCAACACAACCAAAGAUUUUAUUAGUAUUUUUGGCAGCUGUAACUCAUACAGUUAGCAUCUACUGAUCUUGUGGAUACCUGGACUUCUAACAUAUUCUCACGAAAUUUAUGCUUACACAGAUUGCCCGUGUUUGGUGGCUUGGCAUUUGAUUUCUGGAACCAAAGUUCAGCACUUAUAUUCAUUUUACCAUUUUAAGUUUCAGUCGACUGUUUAGCUCAUUGAGAUCUUUUGGGAAUCUAGAUCCUGUCCUCCAACGUCAAACCAUUCCUUUUAUUUCUGGGCCACCUACAAUUAACACAAGUAGCUUAGCACAGAAACUUGGGCCUUUCAAGACAGCUUCGACUCCACUCCCCUCCAUGACUAUCAAGUUUUCAUUUCUUUGACCAUCAAGGAGCUCAAGAACACUUUUGGUCAAAGGUGAUAUUGAAAUCAGGAUGCUGAGUGCCCAAAAAAUGUUACAAAUUUACUAGCACAAAUACCAAACAAAUAAGUGCAUUAAUUAAAAAAAAAAAAUAGGGCCGGGCGCGGUGGCUCACGCCUGUAAUCCCAGCACUUUGGGAGGCCGAGGCGGGCGGAUCACAAGGUCAGGAGAUCGAGACCACGGUGAAACCCCGUCUCUACUAAAAAUACAAAAAAUUAGCCGGGCGCCUAUAGUCCCAGCUACUCGGGAGGCUGAGGCAGGAGAAUGGCGUGAAACCCGGGAGGCAGGAGCUUGCAGUGAGCUGAGAUUGCGCCACUGCACUCCAGCCUGGGCGACAGAGCGAGACUCCGUCUCAAAAACAAAAACAAAAACAAAACAACAACAAAAAAAUAGUAGAACUAAGUACCAGGCCUUAUCCAACCCCAUUUUUGUAGAGGGCUCAAUGUGCUCACGUGGAAAUUGGCAGCUUUAGAAGGUUCGGGAAGGAGGGUCUCCCUGCUCAACUCAGAGACACUAAAUCAGGAGAUUAAGUCUCCAAGUUGUCUCUGGGGCUAGAGGGAAUGAAUAACAGUGUCCUUUAUAAGCAUCUUGGAUUUCUGCUUUUUAAAUGAAAUCCACUGGGCCCUAUCAGUCUGUGGUUUGUCUGCUCUGCUUUUAGCAAACUCGAGAUGGGGUUUCGCCAUGAUUGGUCUGAGCAUUUUGCCCUUCAGAAGGGGGACUCACUGACCCCUGACCACAGCCUUGUCAUACAGAGUGUGUCAGAGGCGGUCCAAUUACCUAAGAGGACUGAGAAAAAUCAAACAGAGCUCGGGCACAAUGAAGGGAAAAAACACACAGCAGGCCCAGCUUUAGCUCCACUGCUUGAAUUACCACUAUGUCAAUAGAAGGUGAUAAAUCAAGGGAGAUAUUUACUGAUUAAAAUUACAGACUCCUACGGGA
rnacentral:lncRNA from 1 species